rnacentral:rRNA from 1 species
CCUACGGGAGGCAGCAGUGGGGAAUAUUGCACAAUGGGGGGAACCCUGAUGCAGCGACGCCGCGUGAGCGAGGAAGUAUUUCGGUAUGUAAAGCUCUAUCAGCAGGGACGAAAAAAGACGGUACCUGACUAAGAAGCACCGGCUAACUCCGUGCCAGCAGCCGCGGUAAUACGGAGGGUGCAAGCGUUGUCCGGAAUCAUGGGGCGUAAAGAGUUCGUAGGCGGCAUGUGAAGUCAGGUGUUAAAGGCGCAGGCUCAACCUGUGUAGGGCACUUGAUACUUGCAAGCUGGAAUGCGGUAGAGGUAAAGGGAAUUCCUGGGGUAGCGGUGAAAUGCGUAGAUAUCAGGAGGAACAUCGGUGGCGUAAGCGCUUCACUGGGCCGUAAUUGACGCUGAGGAACGAAAGCCAGGGUAGCAAAUGGGAUUAGAUACCCCAGUAGUC